rnacentral:lncRNA from 1 species
AUUUGGCGGGAUCUGUGUCUCUCGCUGGUGCUGGCACAGGAGCUUGGGAUCUGUCUCCUCUUUCGCCUCCUGCACCUUGAGAGCCCUGGGCUACUCUGUCACAGCCCCUGUUGCCCUGCGAUCUGUAGGUCCUUGGGGACGCAUAGUUAAGGUGCCAGGACAUCCUGGAAGCUGGGAAAUGGCUGAAUGCUAUCCAGUGAAUAUACGUGCCCUGUUUGUUGAAUCUACUCAUCCUUAAAGAUAUGUAUUCAUUUCCUACCACCGUAGUGGAAGAGAGAUUUUCCCUAUCUUUACAACUGAUAGCAUUUCCAACAGUAAGCUGUGAGAUUCUGCUUGAAAUCACCUCUCAAACAAAUAAAAAACAGACCUGGGAGACAUGCUACACUCAUUCUGCUGAGGAAAUAGGCAUCAUAGCUGGGAAACGGAUUCACAAGACCCAGGCUGUUCCCUACAUAUGUUUCCUCCUCCGACAUCAGUUCAUCAGUCAAUCAAGCCAUGUGAGAGUGGAGGCCUUGUAUUCCCUAUUAUUCUUGGGCACUCUACUCCAAGUAGGAAAAGGCCAGGAGGUCCUGUUAAAGGAUGCACUCAGAGCCCGGGCUCCCUAACAUAUGAGAGUGCUAACCAGCAGGUGUAGACUUUUCAGGAGUGAAGAAUGAGGCAGGCAUUCCAAACCUGGACCUUCAUCACCUUUUGUUUCAUCUCAAGACAAUUCUGAGGGACUGUUUUGGAGCGUGUCUGGAAGGUGAACCUUGAAGAAGAGUGUGGGCUUUGAUGUGACUCAGUUGAGAUCUUUCAUGGGGAGGCAGGAAUUCAAUGCCCAGAAUCUGGGCUGGUGUCUUUGAGGUCAGUAGGUUGCGUCUUUGUAUCCAAGUCCAUUGUUACUAGGUUGGAGGCUGGAGAUUCUAAAUGGCUUCCAGACCAUCUCUCUGAUUCUCUUUGGGAGAUGGGGUCUGAAAGACAAUGUCAGUAGUUUUGGGAAAUUCUAGAAAGUGUGCUUGGAAACGUGGGAAGAGCUCUUGCCUAGUGCCUAAAUGCUCCAUUUGCAGCUCUAGCCAAGUAGAUACUUGGUAGGUAUAGAGCCGGGUUUGCGUUUAUAUCAGCAAAACCUAUGUCAGAGUUGAAGAAGUAGUCAGGAAAAAGCGUCUUGGUCGCAGGCCGGGGAACAUCUUAAAAGCAAACUUCUAGCCUGCUGACUCUUGGCAAUGAGUGUUGGAUCCUGGCUAAAGUGCCUUGAAUGCAGCAUGAGGCCAAUCCAUGAAUCCAACUUCUCAUGGAGAAAUGUUAAUAUUUUUUCAGUUUGAAUCAAUCAGGGUGAAACUACCAUGCUAUUGGUUUGCUUACUUUUUAUUAUUUCAUGUAAAAUCUAAGACAAAAUACAUUAAAUGCUUAUUGACAUAUGUAUUUAUUCUUCACCAGGCUGAUAAUAUCUGCCUAAUUUUAAACUUUCUUCCAUUUUGUAGGUUUCAACUUAUUCUAUUGUAAGAUACUGUUAAAUCUAAUAGAGGCAUUGUCACUUUUACGUAUAAUUUUAUUUUAUUUCAUAUAUUUCCUAUUGGCUUUUUACAUUUAAAUUAUGGAGCACUUCAUCAUAUAAAAAACUUCAAUUAUAUUUAAACAGUAAGUCUUUGGAUUUUUUUGCCUUGUAAUUUCCAUAUUACAUAAUAAUGAGAUAAACAUUAAUGUUUUCAGGGUACUUUAAAUUUUAGAUAAUUACUCAUUGUAUUCAUGUGAAAUUUGUUUUUACUGCAUGUGUGGGUUGGAGGACUGUUUUCACUUCUGAUUCAUCUUUACUCUUAUCUCAUCAGAGCUCAUACCUCUUGUAGUUGGGGGAUUGCAGUUUAUAAUUCCAAUAAAUGGGGCAAAUUCAAUAAUAACAUAAUACAAAUGAGUUUGAAUGCAGGACAGGUCUUCAAAGCAUACACAACAUGGGCCUACAUAUGUACAACAAUAAUAAUUUAUAAGUUACUGUUUGGAUGGAAAGUAAAAGUACAGAAAAUUUGUUAAAGGAAAUUAAAAUGGAGAUCAUGUCUCAAUAAUCUCUGAGCAGACAAAAUUAGUUAGGUCUCAUAAGUGAUCUCAACCUCGCUUGAUUUGCAAAUACAAACAAAACUUAAAUUAUUUCUUGUAGCUGCAUAUUGAAAAAAGAGAAAUGAAGCUCAACCAGUCAGAAGUAGCCAACAACCUUAUAUAAAUAGAAACUGUCCAACAAGGUAAACAGACAAACAAAAAACAAUAAAAAAAGUUGUGCUACCACCAAAUGAUUUCUUUGUUUCUACAUUUUUCAAAUAAAUACUUGCUUCUUACACUGUCAAUGAAGCACUCAAUAUCUUUCCGUCUGAUAUUUUAUAAUUUAUCAAUUGCUCUUACUCAAAUAAACACUUUGCAAUUUCA